UUUUCUUCUUCUUCUUCCUCUUCUUCCUCUUCUUCCUCUUCGUCUAAUUAGAGUUAAUUAGAAUUAUUAUUCGAGGGUAUCCGCGAUGGCUGCCCUCCUAUCGUUUUUUCCUUACCUCGUACCCUCUCUCUAAAUCGUUCCCCCCUUCUAUUCCACUUCGUUAUUACUUCUCUUUUCCUCUUCUUUCCCUCGUAUAACACCUAUUCGAGAACCACCAUUGGCCGGUUGGAUCGUUUAGCGUGUCCUGGGCACACCUUCCUCCCGUCCGUUUCUCCAGCCCUUCGUUUUCUCGUGGUGCUCGAUCAUUGGCUAAACUGAUGUUGAUCUACCUGUGGCCUUUUUCCAACUUCAAAGCCGCUACCUGACUCUUGAAAAUUUAGUAUACGCCUCCAUACAUCAUGCAGCUACCUGUUACCAGCUCUUUUUUUCCAUACCUGUCCAAGCGACGCCUCUCUUUGGAUUUUAAAAUGCACCACACCGCGGUUGAUGGCCUGCAUGACGCUUUUUACCUGCCCAUUACACACGUCGUUCACAUUUUAUUUCAAUCUCAUCAGCAGAAUUACGUGUGCAGUCGUUUUAUAUUUAUAUCCACGUUCAAAGCUCGAUCCACGGGAGCUGUAUCAUUUUUUUCAAUUUUUCGUUUUUCUAGUUUAACUGUACACGCGUUAUACGGAUCGACUAUAAUUAUUAACUUUAUAUUUCACCUCUGAUCCCAUGGUGCGAAUUUCGUCUCAUAUAACUCGAGAAGGCGGAGCUUAAAUUAUAUUACAGGUAGCUGAGAUCCGAACGCUGAGAAAUUUACGUGAGGAUGGCGGAAUGUAUUCGUACAUCAGCUCCUGUAUACACCUUGGAUAUAAGAAUUGCGGUAGCAACGCGUUUUAUGAUCAACCGGGUGCGGCUCGACGUCCUUUUUCAAGAUUCCCAGCCAGCUCUUUAAAGAUUUAUAAUUCACUCAUCGCACAUAUUCAGAGGGAUCAGAUACACAUUCUCAGGGAAAGUGGUGCGCUUUAGCAUUUUACAACUCUUGGAAGUCCAGCGGCACAAGGGGCAACCCUUGGAUAACGCGUGGGCGAUGGCGACGGCGGCGACUGCAGCUUCAGCAGCAUUUUAUAUGUACGUAAGAUGGUUUCUUCUGCACCGGCCUUUUCCCUCUUCUACUAAUUUUUUUUUUUUUUUUUUCUACCUUUUCUUUAUUCCAUUUUAUUAUGUUUGAGGGAUACCGCCACUUGUUUGCCGUCAAAGUAACGUUACAGCUAUACCUGUACGACCGCGCAGAGAUGCAACGUAAUAAUCAUAACUCUAAUACCGAUGGUUCUAUACAACUCACGAAUUUAUGCACUCUGGUGGUCCUCAUUCUCAUGCCUACCUGCUUCCGGACAUAUCUAAAAAGCAACAGGUUGUCGAUUCAUUUUGCAUUUCUUGAAAUUUUCCUACCAGAUGCUCGCUAAAUGUAUCCGCUAUUCUUGCAGGUGUAUUUAUCUGAGGUCAUAUCCUCCAUCAUCUUUGAAAAUUUCUAGUUCGAUAAGUAACUCGCGUCACGAUGUACACAACAUUCACGUAUAUAUUUAUGAAAUCGUUUUAAUUAUUAAUCUGCAACAUUAUGAGAAUAUGCGAUAGAAGCUGCGGUUGAAUUGAAAGA